rnacentral:misc_RNA from 1 species
AAAAAAAAAAAAUGGAGGUGAAAGCAAAGCUUGUUGACACAUCUAAGGGCAUUAAAGAUUUGGAGCAAAAAAAAAAGAGAUCAAGUCAAAGUAAAGAAAUUUGAGUUUGAGGAGUUUAUAAUGCCUUUCACUAUGAUUGAUGAUAAUGAGUUUGAAUUGGAAUUAUUUAUCAAUUUACCAUAGAAGAUGAAGUUGAAACUCAUAAAAAAGAGUAAGGAGAGUUGGAGAUGCCAAUGGGACGUGAAGAACAACCAACCAUGGAGG